rnacentral:lncRNA from 1 species
GAGUUACCUUCACGAGGAGGUCAGCCAGGAAGAAACUACAAGAUGCUCAUUUCAUAAUGUGAUUCAAAAGCACAAAGGGAAACUCAAUCACAUGCCCCCUCUUUUCAGGUACUGACUCAAGUGGCUCUCUGAGAAUGGGCCCUUCCUUCCUCUACCCACCCUCCCUUUCAAGAUCAGGCUCAGUUCUUGUCUUUUAGAACCACAGGGAAACAGUCUGGCAAGAGCCACUGUUGUACCAGCUGAUUUAAAUUGAAAUGUUUUCCCCAGAUAAAUACGUGCUAAAUAAUAUACCAGCUCUCCAGCCAAAGGGAAGUGACAGGCGCUCUGUAAAUAAAGGCACUUAGUUGCUGGUAAAGAGCUGUAAAGUGGUUCUGAGCUGAUGUUUGCUGACCAGCAAGAAGCAGCUUCACCUGCUUUAUAUAAUUGUCACUGCAGUCUUGCCUGCUGUAUAUUAAAACUGCAUCUCAUAGACCCAACUGUCACAUCGGAUAUACCAUCCAGCAUGGGGUAUGCCACCUUUCUCCGUAAUUGUUUUUGACAACCAGCCAUCACAUCUCAGAUCUUUUCAGAAAGCGUCUGGUCCAAAGUCCCUAGGCUGGGUCAGUUCUGACACCAUGUGGGCUAGAACAGUGGCACCAAAAGGGAAUGUGAAUAGAGAAGAGGAAAAAGAGGCUUUGUUAGUCUCAGAGACCAGAUAAUGCACACUGGCAAGUGUCUGAACCCAAAUCUCAACAAAGACUCUACCUCCUCAAUGUUAAGGUACAUUUUUCAUGUUACAUGGUAUCAUGCUAGAAAAACUUUCCAUUGAGAUGCAUGGAUAUUUUGGCCCCAGAGCACACACGCUUGCCCUGAGUCCACAUUUCUGUCCUGCUGAGUUUUGGAGAAAUGGUAAUGUAGCUCUCAAGACAAAGCCGAGGAUGCAGCUUCAUAAGGACUGCAGAAUAAAUAGUGAUGAAAAGUGGGUAGCAGUGGCCAGAAAUCUAUGUUGCUAUCCCUCGGGGGAAGUUAGAUUUGCUUCCCAACAUGCAAAGAGUAACACGAAAUCCAUUUUGUACCCUGUAAUUCCAAUCUACUUGGAGCGUGGUCGUGACAAAUACCUAGAUGAAGGGUAAUUAAAAUAUCUGAGGCCAAUGAGCGUUCCAGCUGGUCAAACAGUUCUCAAGGAGGGACAGUGACAGGGAAACCUAGUUUGUCCCUCCAUCCCCCUGGGCUGGGACAAACCCAAGGAGUGGGCUGUGUGAUGAGCAGCCCAAGAUGAAUACAGAGCACUUGCCCGUCAGAGAGAAAGUCACUUCCUGUGCUGAUGGCCACCGCUGGACUUUUGGAAGGUCAGAGUGUCCCCAGAGGAGGGUGUUAGAAACCAAGGACAAGAGAAGGGCAGACAGAGUAAGAAAACAAGGGGAAAUAUGGGCUCAGUGUGCCGGUAGCUUUGGCAGUCUCUCACUGAGAGCAGAACGAAGUGCUUGCUGGCUGCUGGGGGGCAUGGGCUCCACACCACUGCUGACCAAGAGUCUGAAAAUUGCCACUGGCCAUGGGGUACAUCCUUGGCCUCCUUUGGUGUGUAUGUGUGUGUGUCUGGGGGGUGGGUGUACUAAAGAAGGAGUGCCCUUCUCUUCUUUGUGCAGGAAAAAUAUGCUCCCGUUCCCUUUCUUCCUUAUCUCCCGCCAAAGCCUAUUUUCCUUGCUUAUGCCUGUCCUAAAACAGUAAAGAAAGCUUUUGAGAAUCAGGUAUGUGUGGAGGGGAGGGGAAGCCUUUUUAUCAGCGUGGCCAUCAUACAGGAUCUGAGAGGCUGGGGUCAGGUUUAUGAGAGCUGGAAGGAACACCCAUGUCAGACACACACGUAACUCAAUCAGGCAUUGAGAUUCUGAUCUAUGGACCUUGACAAUCACAAUUAUUGAAUUGGGAGAAAACAGACAUGCUGGGGAAAGGGAGUAUUUUCUGGCCCCUCCUGCUCAGUUCCAUCUGCCCCCCCCCCGCCGAAGGGAGCGCUUCUCCUGCUUCCACUUCUUUCCAUUCCCCUUGCUAGCUCCCGCCAGGAGAAGAGGAGCGUCUAAUUGGGUUGGUCAGCGUGUUCACUGGACCGGGCUUUGUUAGCGUGCAGAAUAUUGUGCCUUAAAGCAGUGCACACGAGUCACCUGGGGACCCUGUUAGAAUGCAGAUUCUGACCCAGGAGGUUUGGGGUGGGCGUGAGAUUCUGCACUUCUAACAAGCUCCCCAGGGGACGCCCAUGCUGGGACGGAGUUGGGAGGACACAUGAGGAAGAACAACUACUUAAAGGCAGGAACCAAAUGGUGGCUUGCCUCUUCCACCUCCCAGAAGGCCAACUUACUGUCUCCUCAUAUCCUCUGUCACCUGUGCUCCCUGAGCAGGCAGGACAGAAGGCAGUCUCUGGCUCUCCAGUACACAGCUGGGUAGGUAAGACUCUCUUUUAGAGCCUUGGCAUGUUGCUAUGACCUGAGGCCCAGCUGAUCAAGUGGAUACCAAGAUUUAGAUUUGGGGGAGAGGCAGAGGAUGGCAGAGUGGAGAGGUGAAAACCAGGCUUCAGACCAUAGCAGUCAGGGUUGCGUCAAGAAUAGAAGUCACUCUAUUCCAAGUAUAAAGAAAAUUAGAUGCGGAUGCCACCAUCGGAAGGGCUGUAGGAACAAAAGUCAAAGAGGCCACCAUGAGCCAUUGCACUGGCAACACCAAGUUGCAAGCCCCACAGGAGGUACUGUGAACCUCCAGGCAGCUCGAAGAAGGCCACACCACACCCCUCAGUCCCUAGCAGCAAAGCCAGUGAUUCUCAGAAAGCUCCUUUAAAAGCUGCUUUAGGGGCGCCUGGGUGGCGCAGUCGGUUAAGCGUCCGACUUCAGCCAGGUCACGAUCUCGCGGUCCGUGAGUUCGAGCCCCGCGUCAGGCUCUGGGCUGAUGGCUCAGAGCCUGGAGCCUGUUUCCGAUUCUGUGUCUCCUUCUCUCUCUGCCCCUCCCCCGUUCAUGCUCUGUCUCUCUCUGUCCCAAAAAUGAAUAAACGUUGAAAAAAAAAAAUUAAAAAAAAAAAAGCUGCUUUGAACCUCGCAUCUGCUCAGGGUCUGGCUGCCGCUGCCUCCAAAGAAUCAAGGUCUCUUUGUCUCUUCCAAAUUCCAGAUCUCGUCCCAGUGCCCGGCUCUCAUUGGCAGACUCCAGCCCAGAACUGUGCAGGGCAGAGGAUGCUAGGAACUGCUGUUCCCAGCUUUGCUGCACUGUUUUGAGCAGAUGUUGGAAGGAGGUGGUGCUGGUGCUGAGCUGACAAAAGAUCCAGCAGCACAUGUCUGGGCUGCAAGAUGGGGCUGAACUUUAUCCCGUCAAUAAGGUCGCGCUUCAUAUCCCAGCAGCUAGAGUUCUCACGGCUGUGCUCCCUCCACCUUUGGUCCUGGAAUGAUGGGAUUCAGGCCCCCACCACGUACCCAAUGUCACCCAUCCAGCAGACCACUUAUGACAACGAUCCUGCAGUUCAUGGCAAGCCUGCGCAGAAGCAGUCCUGCCAAGGCUCAGAUUAGUCAGGCUGUUUGUUACAAGGUUUUGCUGUGCUGCCUCUCUGAGACUUCUAGAUGACAUCUUUACUAGCAGCUAUCUGCCCAGGAUCCCAGAGAAAAUGACAGGGAAGAUGGGGGCAGAGCAGAGAAGGUGGAUGUACAUCAUUUCACUCUGGCAUGCCUGCUGUAGAGAACGUGUGGGCUGAUGAGCAUCACCUCUUGCUAAAUGACUUUUCGUGUCCCUAUAGUCCCCGCUGUCCGGGGGUCACCAUCCGUAGGUCAGCGGAUAACAAAGUAAAGCUUAACACCCCCAUGCAGCUAUAACAAUGGCAACGCUUAACAUAGGUCAAUGGCAAAAAUAUAUACUGCAGAGAAACAUUAGGAAUUGUUCAGCCAGCAUCUUUUCAGUGCCUGACAUUUAGCUGGUGACCCGGGUCACAGAGCCACUGUUUGGGAAGACUGAGGGCAGUGGCAAUUGAAAGGCUGCUUUCCUCUCUGGGAAGGCAGGCUAUUCGGGGUGUGGGUGUUCAGGUGUUCUCAAGCCUGCUUCCCGAGAUGGUAAGAAGACGCGGCAGAUGCCCCUUUGAAAGCCAUCACCCGGACCACAGGUUUUACUGCCAGCAGGCUGGUGUGAGCCUCUUUGAAUUACUGAGUGAAGGAUAUCCCUCUUGCCAGCCCCUGUCCCCUGUAGGCACAGCAGAGAAGUAUUACAGGCUGUCCUUACCUUGGGAAUUAGCCUGCAAGACCCCGAUGCUGUCAUCAAACUGCAUAGAUUUGAUGUUGAGUGACGCCAAGAUGCAUUCCUUGUCCUGCAGCGAAGUAUCAUCAAUAUUAUUCUGAUUGGCUGACAGGAUAACGCACAUGUCACAGAGGUUGAUGUUGACGGCCCUUAAAUCAGCCCGACUUAAUGGCGUACCCUUUGGCAUCGAGGAAAGGGAAAAAAAAAAAAAGAAGAAGCAAAAGUGAGACCGAGGGACGGGAGGGAAAGAGGGGGAAAAAAAAAUAAAAACAAAUUAAAGAUGGAGCCGGAGCUUUGGGAAAUUAUUUAACAAGUAUCUUUUUUAUGCCUUGACAUUAAGCUGGCCUAACUACAUUCAAGGGAAUAGGAGCUGUGUGCUAAUCUAAAGGGUAGUCGGUGCUGAUGGCGGCAUUUCAGGCUUGCUCUCCACACUCAAUCAAGCCGUUGCUAACAAACGAGGGAGAGGAAUAAUGCCAGGGUUCUACAUCUUCUUCCUGCCUGGAAAUUGUCUUGAUUUAAGAAACUGUCCUGUGGCAACCUCUGGCUUUCAGAAUGUAACGAGGGGGUGGGUUUCAAAUGCCUGUUUAUUUAAUAGCAGGUCACUUCUGUCUCGGGCAAAAACAGCAGCUCUGACUAGAAUUUCCAAUGCAGCCAAGGGGAAAUAGCCAGUGAGCAUGGUAUGAUGAGGUGGGACUGAUAGCACUGCUCAACCUGGAGGACGUGAGAGGGAUGGAAUUAAUGUGCAUCUUGUAAAGGGGAGGGGGGAAGAACUUAAGCUUCAAGUCAUAUAAUUUUAUUGUAAAUUUUCAGCAAGAGAAAAAAAAGCACAAGAAAAUCGCCUAAUUGACCAACAACAGAGGGAUGGUUGAAUACGCCACUGGACAUACAUACAAGGAAAGUCCAUGCAGCAGGUAAAGAGACCAAAACAGCUCUCCAUGUAGGUGUAGCCUGGGCAGGAUCUCUAAAAUAGUGGGAUAAGUGCAAAACAAAAACACAAAAAAACAAGUCCUAGAUCAUUUAAAAAGUAUUAUUUCAUUUAUGUAAAAAGAAACCCACAAAAUAAAGCUAUAUAUUUAUGAAUGCACUCGUAAAUGCAUGUACAUUUGGAGAGAAAUUUCAGGAAAAAUAUACACUAAACUAAUAACAGUAAUUACCUCUAGGGAGGAGAAUAAGAUUGGGGGUAAAGGGAAAAGUUUGUUUUUGACUUUACAUACUUCUGUCUUGUUUGAAUAUUUUAUAACAAGAACGUAUUUGUAUAUUACCGGUGUAAUUAAAAAUAAAUAAGCCAGUAAACAGAUUUUUUUAAAUCCCGUAAGAACAAAAAAGCAGUGGGGGAAAAAAAAACCCAGAACAAGGAGGUAAUGACAGAGAGGAAGAGAAGGCAAGCACAGGUAGGAAAGAAGGGUUAAGUGUCAGAGGGGAGAGGCAUGACCUCCACACGCUCUGUGUCCUCAGGAGGGAUCACAGAAGAACUAAUCAGGCCAUCCAUGUCAGGGCUCCCUAGGGGUCAUGUGGCAUCAUUUUGGAGUUCACAUACUUGGUCCUUCAGCCUGGAUCCAGCUUCUGCUCUGCCUACGUGAAGAUUUGAGUUGCCUUCAACUCACUGACCGCGUAGGGAGAGGGUUUGCCAACCCCCAUAUAUCCCCGGAUGCCUUCCUCCCAUUCUCCUUCCUGGAGAAGGGGCUUUGGGAUGAUGGAACUUGGCCGCUCAGAUUGAGACCAUCAACCCCCUUUGAUGCCUCAGUGAGAGACAUGAUUCUGCUCUCAGGCCCCAAAAUACUGCUGCAAAGUGGCAUUAUGGAGCAAGAGGCAUUUAGUGCUUUGGGGCUGGGAAGCUACUAAUUCCAGCCUCUGGAGCAGUAUCUUCUGAGAGGAGAAGAAUCCCUCUUUUCCAGGGAUCACUUGGUACAAAGUAAGUCUGACCAACUUCCUGAAUCAUUUAGCCAGUGCUUAUGCCUCAAUUGCCUACAUUCAUAUUCUUUUAAUUUUCACCUUGUAGGGAAUCAGCAGUAAUUGUGAUAUAAGACAAUCCCUGCAUAGUUGUAUACACAAGAUUUCAAAACUCAAGAAAUACUGAUGACAUAUAUAGAAACACCAUGUUUCUCUGGACUGACUCCAUACGUGGGGCACUGUUUAAACAAUGAAAUAUGUGAAGACAUAGAGGAAGGCCCAUUUGUACAAUAUGCUGUGCGUGAGUGUGUUAAAUUUCAGAGGGUUUAAAAAGGACCAGCAAAUAUGAGAGCUCAUUCGUAUGUAGGCCAAUAGGUGAGUGCAUGUAUACAAGGGCACACAGGAGACACACACAUAUACACACAUAGAAUGCACACACACACACACACACACACACACCAAACAUUACCUAUACACCCAACACCCAUACAUACAGAAUGCACACUCGUGUGCAUGUGUGCACACGCACAUACACACGUGCGUGCACACACACACACACAGCCCAGCAAAAUAAUAAGCUCUUUACAAAACACUUUUAGACCCAGUCCAUGUGUUCCAAGGGACCAUGUGUAAAAGCACAUGUACAAAAAUAAUUGUGGAAAUACAUAAUCAAAUCUAACAUGACUGAAAUUAGCAAGGUAUAUAUCUGCUUAUGCUCUUCUACGUGUAUGACUAUUUGUUUUUCUUCAGGUGAUUAUUUUUAACUACAUGUGUUUACUAAAUCAGCUUACUAGUUUCCUAAAUCUAGAAUUGUUUAAAAGUUUAUGAAAAAUAUAUUGAUUAAUGAUCAGGAAAUAAUUACUUGCCUCCUAGAUCAUGUAUCCUGCAUCCUUACACUAAAUUGUUGAGUCUCAAACUGUUCCUUUUAGAUUUGGGCCUUAGCAUAUUUUUCAAUCAAGAAUAUCACAUGCACAUAUGUGUGCGUACACAUACAAGCCUAUGAAAAUAUUGCUAGGCUUCUACAUGAAUGGGAGGCAGGGAGUGGCCAGAGGAAGGGGCUGGCCUUCCAUACAACAGAAAUAAAGAAAGAACUCUGUUAAAUCCACUUAGUUAAAAAACAGAAAGCAAUAUGACCAAGAUUCACAGAAGCAUUAAUAAUAUCAUAAAUAAAAUGCUAAAAAUAGUUCCAUAAGUAAAUUCUGCUAUAAGCAUCAUAAUAUCUCAAAGCAUUAGGUUUGGGUAGGCAAGACAGAGAGAGAGUGUAUAGACAUCGAUAUGGUUAAUACAUUUGGUAUCAGCUAAACUUCAUGCUUGAUGAGCAGCUGAACUUGGCUGCAAAUUCCUUUUAAUAAGGUCUCCCAGGGUUUAGAUAUUCCUAGACAGAGCAUAAGGGAAGGGCUGAGUCCUCAGGCCCAUAACCGGAUGAAGAAGCAGAGGCAUGAUCAAAGCUACAGCUAUUAUAUCCAUCCGGGAUUUUCUUUUGUGAAUGAAAAGAAGGAAAAAGCAUCGAUAAUGUGACCUUGGACUUACAGGCAAUAUGGACACUUUGGGGAAGUUAUGAAGCGUCUCCCAUUCCCGCUUGAGGUACUCAAUGGAGCCCACAAACACGAUGUGCUUGAGCUCGUGGUAAUGAAAGUUGCUGGCACGGAGUGGCAUCACCAGGUUCCGGAGGCCAAUCAGGGCUGAGCUGACAUCACCAAAGAUGCAGACCACGACGUGGCCGCUCAGGACGGUCAUGGCGGCUUCACUUCGAGUCUGCAACAAGGAAAAGCGCACCAGCAUUGGAGAAAAGACCUCACAGUGUUUUGGGAAGUAUUUAAAAAAACACUUUCAUAAAGA